rnacentral:rRNA from 1 species
UUAAACUGAAGAGUUUGAUCAUGGCUCAGAUUGAACGCUGGCGGCAGGCCUAACACAUGCAAGUCGAGCGGUAACAGGGGUAGCUUGCUACCCGCUGACGAGCGGCGGACGGGUGAGUAAUGCAUAGGAAUCUGCCCGAUAGUGGGGGAUAACCUGGGGAAACCCAGGCUAAUACCGCAUACGUCCUACGGGAGAAAGGGGGCUUCGGCUCC